GAUGAACGCUAGCUACAGGCUUAACACAUGCAAGUCGAGGGACCGGCGCACGGGUGAGAAACACGUAUCCAACCUGCCCUUUACUCGGGGAUAGCCUUUCGCAAGAAAGAUUAAUACCCGAUGUAAAGGAUGGGGAUGCGUUCCAUUAGGUUGUUGGUGAGGUAACGGCGCACCAAGCCUUCGAUGGCUAGGGGUGCUGAGAGGAAGGCACACGAAAUUUGAACUGGGACCCGGACUAAACCGCUAGGCGAGGCAGCAGAGAGGAAUAUUAGGCAAUAGGCGUUAGUCUGAACCUGCCAAGUGGCGUGAAGGAGGAAGGGUUAUGGAUCGUAAAUUUGUUUUAUAUAAGAAUCUGUAUUAGAUGAAUAAGGAUCGGCUAACUCCGUGCCAGCAGCCGCGGUAAUAC
rnacentral:rRNA from 1 species